CCUACGGGGGGCUGCAGUGGGGAAUAUUGGACAAUGGGGGAACCCUGAUCCAGCCAUGCCGCGUGUGUGAAGAAGGCCCUCGGGUUGUAAAGCACUUUCAGUGAGGAAGAACGCCUGGUGGUUAAUACCCAUCAGGAAAGACAUCACUCACAGAAGAAGCACCGGCUAACUCCGUGCCAGCAGCCGCGGUAAUACGGAGGGUGCGAGCGUUAAUCGGAAUUACUGGGCGUAAAGCGCGCGUAGGUGGCUUGAUAAGCCGGUUGUGAAAGCCCCGGGCUCAACCUGGGAACGGCAUCCGGAACUGUCAAGCUAGAGUGCAGGAGAGGAAGGUAGAAUUCCCGGUGUAGCGGUGAAAUGCGUAGAGAUCGGGAGGAAUACCAGUGGCGAAGGCGGCCUUCUGGACUGACACUGACACUGAGGUGCGAAAGCGUGGGUAGCAAACAGGAUUAGAUACCCUAGUAGUC
rnacentral:rRNA from 1 species